rnacentral:rRNA from 1 species
AGUGAACGCUGGCGGUAGGCCUAACACAUGCAAGUCGAACGGCAGCACAGUAAGAGCUUGCUCUUACGGGUGGCGAGUGGCGGACGGGUGAGGAAUACAUCGGAAUCUACUUUUUCGUGGGGGAUAACGUAGGGAAACUUACGCUAAUACCGCAUACGACCUACGGGUGAAAGCAGGGGAUCUUCGGACCUUGCGCGAUUGAAUGAGCCGAUGUCGGAUUAGCUAGUUGGCGGGGUAAAGGCCCACCAAGGCGACGAUCCGUAGCUGGUCUGAGAGGAUGAUCAGCCAACACGGAAAUGGGACACGGGCCAGAACCCCACGGGAGGCAGGAGUGGGGAAUUAUGGGAAAAGGGGGCAAGCCUGAACCAGCCAUACCGGGGGGGUGAAGAAGGCCUUCGGGUUGGAAAGCCCUUUUGUUGGGAAAGAAAAGCAGGAGGUUAAUACCCCGGUGGUCUGGCGGUACCCAAAGAAUAAGCACCGGCUAACUUCGU